GUCUACGGCCAUACCACCCUGAAUGCGCCUGAUCUCGUCUGAUCUCGGAAGCUAAGCAGGGUCGGGCCUGGUUAGUACUUGGAUGGGAGAAUCCUGCCUAGCAUUUUCUUAAAUCAAAGAAGCUUCUGUAAAGC
rnacentral:rRNA from 1 species